AUAUCCUUUAAGUAUUUUCCCAUAAUGUAAUAAAAAUGUAUCUUUUCUUAUCAGCUUAAUACCUGGUAUGUCCUGCAUCACAGGACUAGAAUAUUAAACUCAUUUUUCACUCAUGACGGAAUACUAAGAGCAUGGUCUAUCUCUGCCACGCCAGCCGGGAUGACCGACCGGUUCUAGGCGCUACAG